rnacentral:rRNA from 1 species
AAUUGUUCUUCAAUGCUAGGUCUUGCUUAUGAAUCGUACCAACUUGGACGCCCACGAGCCGCACCAGUAUCAAAUACCGAUGAAUUCAUUUACCGAAACCUACCUACAAAGCACCAUGUCCUAAGAAAGGUUCCCGACUGUCGCCACUGUGGGGCAUUGCGGUUUCCAUUUGAGGGCCCAGCAUUUUGUUGCAGAAAAGGAAAAGUCGAUAUUAUUACUCCAGACAUUCCAGAAGAGCUGAAACGGUUGUUUACAAGUCAAGAUGAUGAGGAUGCUAAAUAUUUUAGAGAGCAUAUACGGUAUUUCAACUCGCACUUCUCAUUCACAACUCUAGGAGUCACUCUUGAUCGCCGAGUAAGCACAGCGGCAGGAACUGGAGUAUAUACAUUUCGUGCAUGUGGUGGCUUAUACCACGCUCUUGAUGGUCUGGUGCCGGCUGAUAAUGGACCUCGGCAUUUGCAGCUUUAUAUUUAUGAUACAGAUCAAGACUUGGUUCACAGGGCUAUGAGGUCUCCAGAUCUUAAUAUAGACCUCAUACGAAAGAUUCUGCGAAUACUUGAGCGUAACCCUUAUGCACAAGUUUUAAAGAGCCUUGGGUCUGUUCCAAAUCUAGAUGAGUAUAGGAUCUCACUAAACACGGAUAUCAACUUGGAUCAACGAAGGUACAAUGCCCCAACGACUUCUCAGGUGGCAGCGAUAUGGGUUGAAGGGAGCGACCCAAAGAAUUGCUUUGACAGAAGUGUUGUCGUACAUGGAAAAAAAGGAGACCGGCCCCUAUAUAUUAGAGCAUACUAUGGGUGCUACGACCCAUUGUCAUAUCCACUAUUCUUCCCACGUGGGGAGACUGGUUGGAAUCGUAGGAUGCCAUAUGUUGGCCCCCUCGAUGACACCACACAAUGUUCAUCGGGUAACCCUGCACCCCAAGUAAACCAAACCUCUGAUUUAUAUGCAGGUAUGAGGUUCAUUAUUCAUUUAUAUACUUGCUAUUAU